GUCUACAGCCAUGCUACCUUGAACAAGCCCAAUCCUGUCUGAUCUCAGAAGCUAAGCAGAGUCAGGCUUGGUUAGUACUUGAAUGAGAGAUCACCUAGGAGGACCAGGUGCUGUAGGCA
ensembl:rRNA 5S_rRNA 5S ribosomal RNA